rnacentral:rRNA from 1 species
GACGAACGCUGGCGGCGUGCUUAACACAUGCAAGUCGAACGGAAAGGCCCUGCUUUUGUGGGGUGCUCGAGUGGCGAACGGGUGAGUAACACGUGAGUAACCUGCCCUUGACUUUGGGAUAACUUCAUGAAACUGGGGCUAAUACCGGAUAGGAGCUCCUGCUGCAUGGUGGGGGUUGGAAAGUUUCGGCGGUUGGGGAUGGACUCGCGGCUUAUCAGCUUGUUGGUGGGGUAGUGGCUUACCAAGGCUUUGACGGGUAGCCGGCCUGAGAGGGUGACCGGCCACAUUGGGACUGGGCUACGGCCCAGACUCCUACGGGAGGCAGCAGUGGGGAAUAUUGCACAAUGGGCGGAAGCCUGAUGCAGCAACGCCGCGUGCGGGAUGACGGCCUUCGGGUUGUAAACCGCUUUCGCCUGUGACGAAGCGUGAGUGACGGUAAUGGGUAAAGAAGCACCGGCUAACUACGUG